rnacentral:lncRNA from 1 species
UAUGUGAGAACGAAAGCGCACCAACUCGAAAAAAUAAAAAUAAUCAAGACACACACAAAACUGCACAGUGGGUGAAGAAGUUAGCCUAAGAAAAAUAUUUUGGUGCCGAAGGACAGCUAUAAGGACAGGUAUAAGCUGGAACAGAUGCGCUAACUUCAAUGACCUUUAAGAAAAUUGACAGCCUUUAAUGAAAAUUGAGCAUUUUCGAGUAACGGAGUUGGUGUGUUUUCGUUCUCACUGAUUCAAAUAUAAAAUACCUGGAAGAGAAGAAAAUUAACAAUUUCUGAAAGGACCCUGUGAUUUUCGUGCCACUAUUUAAAUUUUUAUUUGGAGUGUAUAGCUGUUUAACAAGUUUAAGAGAAUCUAAGUUAUAAGGAUGGCGGGUUUGCGGAAGAUUUAUUUUUAGUUUUUGAGGAAACACUAACCGUCUAGUGUAACGGUUGCUUGGUGCUACUGCACGACGUGGCGGAGGUUCGAAAUCUGCGCCGUGACUGAUGCAGCCGUCGAGUUGCGUGUGGAGGACAGGUUGCGCGCGCGAGUUCUGAAGGCGCGCGACGCCUUGCAGCAUCCCGCAGCCCGCUGCGCGACAGUGUUCUGCGGGCCGCGUUCGUGACGGUGGCAUCUCCGUCUCGCAGUUCGUGUCAGUUCACACGCAACACUCGCGAAUUUUGAACCCCCGUUGCCGAGUUGGAAGCGCGUUACACUCAGUGCCCGUCCCGAGAGUUUUGUUGCGAAUGUAGUAGUUUGGAUUUGGUCGUUGUUUUGUAUUGAAAAUCGGAAUACUAAAGAACUCUAUGUGCAUCAUUUCCUUUGGUAAGUAUAACAUUAAGUUAUGAAUCAAUUGUGUAUUCAGAUUAAAAAAUAUUAAUGUAUUGUUUCUUUAUAUUAAGUACGCUGAAGGUAUACACAUGUUGAAAAAAUGGAGAUGAGGAAUUUAUUUCUUUUAAUUUCCUUCUUCAUCCACGAAACUUAACUUUUCCUCCUACAGAUUAAAAUACAUUUAUUCAUUAAAACUUUUGUUAUAUAUUUAAAAUUCUAAUAAAUAAAGUCCAAAAUCGCCAAACUGCAUAGCGAUUGGCUCCUGGGAAAUAUUUAUAUACUUCAACAAGGACACAAUUCGCGCUCGAGAGUAAAAGCUCUUUUAAACAAAGCAUGUGCAUUGAGCAAUAUUUGAUUCUCAGAAUGUGAUUUUGCGAUUGGUCUUCAUUAGAUAGAACGGAUUUUUAAAAUAGCAUGUAUUUACUGAUGCAUUCAAUUGGAUAGUGCAUUAUGCUUUUUUUAAAUCCAAUUAAUUAUACAUUUUGAA